rnacentral:piRNA from 1 species
UCCACUUCCGCCUACCGGCCCAGCC